GCUCCAGUGGCGUAAUCGGUCAGCGCGCGGUACUUAUAAUGCCGAGGUUGUGAGUUCGAGCCUCACCUGGAGCA
rnacentral:tRNA from 1 species